AAAAUAUUUAUUUUAAAUUACUUCAAUACUCUAAUGUAUAUUGAAAAGAAUUUAAUUUGUUAUUUUUUUUUUUAUAAAUAAGAUGUUAGCCUGUUAUCACUUAGAGAUGGUAUGUAGAUAUAGUAAAGACACUAGCCAUAAGAAUUAUUAUUUCGUAUGAUUUUGUGUCUCUUGUUUUAAUUUAAUUAUAAAAUUGCUUUCAAUAUUUAAAAAAAGAAUGUUGAUGAUUUCUGUAAUGUGCAAAAUCUAAAAAUUUGUUUGCUUAUUCCUGAAGUGUGCAUGUGUGAGGUCAUUACUUAUUUUAGUUUUCAGCAUAAAUUUCUCUAUAGCUUAUGAAUCAUUUAAGAGUCAUCUUGAUGACAGGUAUUUGUUGAUAGGAGAUAAGUACUACAGACUUGAUGAGUAAUUUGCUCAUGUCUUUGAGUUUGCAAUAAAAUUUACAGCCAAACUAUAGUGAUUAAUUCCUGGUGUAUUUCUUACAAUAGGUGAAUUGACCAGAGAGCCUACCAUGAAAUGUUUUUCGAAAUUUCUGAACUAAAUGAAACAAAAAUUUAAUGUUAAAAUUAUAUAAUACAUACGAGUACUGUUUAAAAAUAUUAAAAUAUCGUUCUUUUGGACUAUAACUAUAGGAUUUAUGAUGAACAAAAUAUUAAGCUCUAUUUACUGGGCCAAUUUUGGUAUGAAUGAAAAUACGAAAUCGAGUCUGAGAAUUCAGAACUUCAUUUCAAGGUAGACCCCACUCCUUCAUCAUACUCCAUCAUCUCAAAUAUAUUGCAAAAAGUCUUCCUGCAAUAUAUUAUAUGGCGUUAAUUUACUGGGUACAGAGGGGGUAUCAUGGGCGAAACAGUAUACUCUGUUAUGUCCAUGGUACUGCUCAUGUCUAUAGGCGACGGUUACCGCUUUCCAUCAGUUGGGCCGUCAGUUUGUUUGCCAUUCUAAAUUGUAUAUAAAAAAAAUCUUAUUUGUUUGAUCGGCUCAGGCUAAAUCGGCUCAGGCUAAAUCGGCUCAGGCUCAGGAGUUAUUUUAGGCAGCCUAUACUUAUUAGUGGACAGUUAACGGUUUAAAUGAUUGAAAAGCGAUAUCUUGUUAUAUAUUCAAUUCCACAAUACUUUUAUUCUCGUAGUCUGUAUCGAUAAUUGGUCGAGUAUUUAUUUUAAUUUUAACAAAGAUCCAUUAUAAUCGUCUGCCCAUGAUGAAGGUACCUAGUGACUGGCCUUGCGUCGUUGAUAACCAUAUAAGGGCGCAGACGCCGGCCGUACGCAUUGCUCUCUUGUUCAUUCGGCGGAAUCCCACAAAAAGUGUAAUUGUAUACUACUGUGGGUCAAAUAUUUGCCCUUCGUGUGAUAAUUUUAAAGUACCAGGAAGUCUGCUUAUUGUACUAUUCCCUUAUUUAUCGGCUUUUGAUAUUCCAUAUCAAAAUAGGUAUGAGACAUUACUUAUAGUUAUUUUUUUCUCAAAUUUUGUACGUUUGUUGCAAAUUUAAUUAAAUCUCACUUUUUAUUACUUCUCUUAUUUUAAAAGCAGACUAAGAAAAAUACGUCAUCGUUAAAAAAUAUAAUAAUUAUUUAAACUUUCUCGUAGCAAUCUCAGGGACAGAUAUUUUACUAAAUUGGAUAUUAGAAAUUCAAAUACAAAAAAAAAAUACUACGUAUUUAAUGGACAGUCGUAUGUUAAAUAAUUGUAGUCGCCACUACAGCGCCAUAUGUGAAACGGCCCUAACCAAUUGGCCUUUCUAAUACCUGUUUUCGGUCAGAUAUUUCCGACUUGUAUUUUUAGCGACUAGUUUGAUGUUUAAAUAAUUAACAUGUUUAUUAGAAGCUCUUGUUGCCAAUGUCAAUGGGCUUUGCAUAGUGGGUUGGGACCUACUACAGGAAAUUCUCAAUACGAGUAUAGCUAACGUGUGCUGCGCAUGGUAAUAAAUUGACAAGGCUGUACGACAUCGGAUCAUGGGAGUCAUGCAGAAUGUUUAUUUUUAAACAACUUCCAUCAGGAGGAGGUUCCUAAUUUAUUACGUCGUUAAUUCUGAACCGAUUUUGAUACUUCUUUUCACAAUCGAAAGGGCUUACUUCCCUAUUGGUCUUAUAUAAAUUUUACGAUGAUUAAAGCACUUAUUUUUCUAUGUGGUGUGCUUGUUGCUAAGCAAGAUCGUGUACCUACAACACGCGAUUCUGCAUUCUAAAUUUAAAUAUUUUAAAUUUAGUAUACCAUACUUAUGAAACGUCACGUUAUUAAUUGGUACUGGCCAAUAUGAACAUGGUUACGACUGUAGUCGUUUUUAGACGUAAUAAAAUUUCCUAGUCAUUAAUGUAUUAAAUCGUCUGUUACUGUUUAAAAAUAAUUAGAUGUUAUUAUUUAAGCUAUAAAUUUUAUUAUCUUCAUUGUAAUAUUUUUGAAUAUUGUUCUUUGUUGCGAUAAAGCAAUUGUUCUUUUUCUUUGUAGAAAAGAUACGACUGUCUGUCUAUAGGUAUUAUUUUCUUAUCAGUAAGGAUGUUUAGCACGAGGUUACUCACUUUACAUAUGCGAUACAAUUAUUCAUAACUAAUUAUAAUAGUAAUUAGUGAUUUCCCGCGAUUUCAGUUGCUCUAAAUUUAUAUCUCGCUCAACUGCGAAUACCAUAGACUUAACUAGAUGUCUAAAGUUCUACAUUCCAUAACGAAUUUACCUCCUGAAUUUCAAUUCCAUAUUAGUUGCUUGGCCCACCGUCGCCCACAAAGCCAAUCCAAGGUUGCGUCAUCGAUCUGAGGCCCUCAGUCGGACAGUGGACUCAUGGAAACACCAAAACAAUAUGUUCAUAGGUGUAGACAUAAGUAAAGAGACAUGCUCUUUUCGAUCAAUGAUUUUAUGUAUUUGGUAGGUUAUUUUUUUUCUCCCGUCAAGAAUAUAGGCGCCACAUUAUUAAAUAUUUUAAAAUAGUUACUGCGAGGGUCACACCAUUCAUUUCUCUUUAUAUUAAAAAAAAAAUGAAUUAAUGUAUUUUAAUAAUUCAUGUAUCUAAAAAUCUAUAUCAACUUCUAAUUUUUUUUCACCGCAUUAUUAGUUUUUGUUUUGCCAAACGUUGACUGAAAGAGAAUGCAAUAUAACAUUAAGUUCUUCCUUUUGUACCAAACAUAUUUUGUAAUAUGGUCAAUAAAGAAUAUAUAAAUGAAAAGAAAAUAAAAAAAUAGUACGUUACUCGAAGCAAAUCAAAUUUGAAUAAAUAACUAUCGUGAGUCAUACUAGUCGGACAUUUCCGAAUUUAAACGUGAGCAAAGCCGACUUAAAUAUACACGAAUCAAAUUUAUUCACAUAUAUUUUUUGUCACUCAUGCACCUUAUUCUUUUUAAAACGAUCAUUGAGUUUAGUAGCUAGAUGACAGCAUAUACAAAUGACUAUAUUGGGCAUUGAACUUGCAACUACCGGAAUGUGAUGUAAUGUGUUAAACCGCUACACUAGGUCGUCAAGGGCGUAAAAACGAACAGAGGGCCUACCACAAAAUAUUUUCCGAAAUUUCGGGGACGAACGAAACGGAAAUUUUAUGUUAAAAUUAUAUAAUACGUGCCGUUUAAAAUUAUUAAAAAUAUUAAAAUAUCGUUCCUCUGGACUAUUAGGAUAGGAUUUAUGAUAAACGAAAUGUUAAGCUCUAUUUAUUGGGUCGAUUUCGGUAUGAACAAAAAGACGAAAUUGAGCCUGAAAAUACGGAACUUCAUUUCAUGGUAGACCACUACUUCAGAUUAAUCCAAUUGGGUUAAUAAAUUUGUGCGAGAGUGUAAUUGGUUUUAUACUCAGCAUGUUAAAA